GGAGAGAUGCCAGAGUGGUCGAAUGGACCGCACUCGAAAUGCGGCAUACGGGUGACUGUAUCCAGGGUUCGAAUCCCUGUCUCUCCG
rnacentral:tRNA from 1 species